AUGAACGCUGGCGGCGUGCAUAACACAUUCAAGUCGAACGAAGCACUGGCGAGGAAGUCUUCGGAUGGAAUUGCCUUUGACUUAGUGGCGGACGGGUGAGUAACGCGUGAGCAACCUACCUGCGUGUGAGGGAUAACACAGGGAAACUUGUGCUAAUACCGCAUGAGGCGACGAUGUCGCAUGGCAAUGUCGCGAAAGAAAUAUUGCAAGCAGAUGGGCUCGCGUCUGAUUAGAUAGUUGGCAGGGCAACGGCCUACCAAGUCGACGAUCAGUAGCCGGACUGAGAGGUUGAACGGCCACAUUGGAACUGAGAGACGGUCCAGACUCCUACGGGAGGCAGCAGUGGGGAAUAUUGGGCAAUGGGCGAAAGCCUGACCCAAGCGACGCCGCGUGAGGGAAGAAGGUCUUCGGAUUGUAAACCUCUUUCAGCAAGGAAGAAGAAAGUGACGGUACUUGCAGAAGAAGCCACGGCUAACUACGUGCCAGCCGCAGC
rnacentral:rRNA from 1 species